rnacentral:rRNA from 1 species
GGUUAAGCGACUAAGCGUACACGGUGGAUGCCCUGGCAGUCAGAGGCGAUGAAGGACGUGCUAAUCUGCGAAAAGCGUCGGUAAGGUGAUAUGAACCGUUACAGCCGGCGAUGUCCGAAUGGGGAAACCCAGUGCAAUUCGUUGCACUAUCGUUAACUGAAUACAUAGGUUAACGAGGCGAACCGGGGGAACUGAAACAUCUAAGUACCCCGAGGAAAAGAAAUCAACCGAGAUUCCCCCAGUAGCGGCGAGCGAACGGGGAGCAGCCCAGAGUCUGAAUCAGCUUGUGUGUUAGUGGAACGGUCUGGAAAGUCCGACGGUACAGGGUGAUAGUCCCGUACACCAAAAUGCACAGGUUGUGAACUCGAAGAGUAGGGCGGGACACGUGGUAUCCUGUCUGAAUAUGGGGGGACCAUCCUCCAAGGCUAAAUACUCCUGACUGACCGAUAGUGAACCAGUACCGUGAGGGAAAGGCGAAAAGAACCCCGGCGAGGGGAGUGAAAAAGAACCUGAAACCGUGUACGUACAAGCAGUGGGAGCACCUUCGGGUGUGACUGCGUACCUUUUGUAUAAUGGGUCAGCGACUUAUAUUCUGUAGCAAGGUUAACCGUAUAGGGGAGCCGCAGGGAAACCGAGUCUUAACUGGGCGUUAAGUUGCAGGGUAUAGACCCGAAACCCGGUGAUCUAGCCAUGGGCAGGUUGAAGGUUGGGUAACACUAACUGGAGGACCGAACCGACUAAUGUUGAAAAAUUAGCGGAUGACUUGUGGCUGGGGGUGAAAGGCCAAUCAAACCGGGAGAUAGCUGGUUCUCCCCGAAAGCUAUUUAGGUAGCGCCUCGUGAAUUCAUCUUCGGGGGUAGAGCACUGUUUCGGCUAGGGGGUCAUCCCGACUUACCAACCCGAUGCAAACUACGAAUACCGAAGAAUGUUAUCACGGGAGACACACGGCGGGUGCUAACGUCCGUCGUGAAGAGGGAAACAACCCAGACCGCCAGCUAAGGUCCCAAAGUCAUGGUUAAGUGGGAAACGAUGUGGGAAGGCACAGACAGCCAGGAUGUUGGCUUAGAAGCAGCCAUCAUUUAAAGAAAGCGUAAUAGCUCACUGGUCGAGUCGGCCUGCGCGGAAGAUGUAACGGGGCUAAACCAUGCACCGAAGCUGCGGCAGCGACACUAUGUGUUGUUGGGUAGGGGAGCGUUCUGUAAGCCUGCGAAGGUGUGCUGUGAGGCAUGCUGGAGGUAUCAGAAGUGCGAAUGCUGACAUAAGUAACGAUAAAGCGGGUGAAAAGCCCGCUCGCCGGAAGACCAAGGGUUCCUGUCCAACGUUAAUCGGGGCAGGGUGAGUCGACCCCUAAGGCGAGGCCGAAAGGCGUAGUCGAUGGGAAACAGGUUAAUAUUCCUGUACUUGGUGUUACUGCGAAGGGGGGACGGAGAAGGCUAUGUUAGCCGGGCGACGGUUGUCCCGGUUUAAGCAUGUAGGCUGGUUGUCCAGGCAAAUCCGGAUAAUCAAGGCUGAGGUGUGAUGACGAGGCACUACGGUGCUGAAGUAACAAAUGCCCUGCUUCCAGGAAAAGCCUCUAAGCAUCAGGUAACAUCAAAUCGUACCCCAAACCGACACAGGUGGUCAGGUAGAGAAUACCAAGGCGCUUGAGAGAACUCGGGUGAAGGAACUAGGCAAAAUGGUGCCGUAACUUCGGGAGAAGGCACGCUGGUGUGUAGGUGAAGUCCCUGCGGAUGGAGCUGAGACCAGUCGAAGAUACCAGCUGGCUGCAACUGUUUAUUAAAAACACAGCACUGUGCAAACACGAAAGUGGACGUAUACGGUGUGACGCCUGCCCGGUGCCGGAAGGUUAAUUGAUGGGGUUAUCCGUAAGGAGAAGCUCUUGAUCGAAGCCCCGGUAAACGGCGGCCGUAACUAUAACGGUCCUAAGGUAGCGAAAUUCCUUGUCGGGUAAGUUCCGACCUGCACGAAUGGCGUAAUGAUGGCCAGGCUGUCUCCACCCGAGACUCAGUGAAAUUGAACUCGCUGUGAAGAUGCAGUGUACCCGCGGCAAGACGGAAAGACCCCGUGAACCUUUACUAUAGCUUGACACUGAACAUUGAGCCUUGAUGUGUAGGAUAGGUGGGAGGCUUUGAAGCGUGGACGCCAGUCUGCGUGGAGCCAACCUUGAAAUACCACCCUUUAAUGUUUGAUGUUCUAACGUUGGCCCCUGACCGGGGUUGCGGACAGUGUCUGGUGGGUAGUUUGACUGGGGCGGUCUCCUCCCAAAGCGUAACGGAGGAGCACGAAGGUUAGCUAAUCCUGGUCGGACAUCAGGAGGUUAGUGCAAUGGCAUAAGCUAGCUUGACUGCGAGCGUGACGGCGCGAGCAGGUGCGAAAGCAGGUCAUAGUGAUCCGGUGGUUCUGAAUGGAAGGGCCAUCGCUCAACGGAUAAAAGGUACUCCGGGGAUAACAGGCUGAUACCGCCCAAGAGUUCAUAUCGACGGCGGUGUUUGGCACCUCGAUGUCGGCUCAUCACAUCCUGGGGCUGAAGUAGGUCCCAAGGGUAUGGCUGUUCGCCAUUUAAAGUGGUACGCGAGCUGGGUUUAGAACGUCGUGAGACAGUUCGGUCCCUAUCUGCCGUGGGCGCUGGAGAAUUGAGGGGGGCUGCUCCUAGUACGAGAGGACCGGAGUGGACGCAUCACUGGUGUUCGGGUUGUCAUGCCAAUGGCACUGCCCGGUAGCUAAAUGCGGAAGAGAUAAGUGCUGAAAGCAUCUAAGCACGAAACUUGCCCCGAGAUGAGUUCUCCCUGAGACUUUAAGUCUCCUGAAGGAACGUUGAAGACGACGACGUUGAUAGGCCGGGUGUGUAAGCGCAGCGAUGCGUUGAGCUAACCGGUACUAAUGAACCGUGAGGCUUAACCUU